GGGGAUGUAGCUCAGUUGGUAGAGCGCUUGAAUGGCAUUCAAGAGGCGGUCGGUUCGAACCCGAUCAUCUCCACCA
rnacentral:tRNA from 1 species